UUGUGCUCACUUUGGCCGCAAAUAUACUAAAAUCGGAAUGAUACAGAGAAGAUCAGAAUGCCCCUGAGCAAGGAUGACAUGCAAAAUUCGUAAACUGCUCCACAUUUUU
ensembl:snRNA U6 U6 spliceosomal RNA